rnacentral:rRNA from 1 species
UACGUAGGGGGCUAGCGUUGUCCGGAUUUAUUGGGCGUAAAGAGCGUGUAGGCGGUUUGGUAGGUCCGCUGUGAAAACUCGAGGCUCAACCUCGAGACGCCGGUGGAAACCAUCAGACUAGAGUCCGGAAGAGGAGAGUGGAAUUCCUGGUGUAGCGGUGAAAUGCGCAGAUAUCAGGAAGAACACCCGUGGCUAAGGCGGCUCUCUAGUACGGUACUGACGCUGAGACGCGAAAGCGUGGGGAGCGAACAGG